rnacentral:lncRNA from 1 species
UUUUUUUUUUUUUUUUUUUUGAAAAUGGCCUUUUAAAUGACUUUAAUACCAGAUUAAGCCCCAAAACAGUAGAAACUCAGAUCCUAGAAACAAAGAAUGUGGUUUGUUUUCCCCCCAGGGUGAUAAGUGAAGUUAUCACAGAAUGCAAAAUUAGGAUUUCAGGUAUGAUCUAUGAAUCCAUUAAGAAUCUAUGAAUCCAUAAGAAUUUAGGUUUCUGUAUUAAAGCUCAGUAUGCAAAUAUGAUGCAAAACAUGAGACUGUAGUUACAAUAGGCCAUCAUUAUCGAUGCUCACCUCUUUUUAUGAGCUGAUUCUACCAGGACAUUGAUUAUCUGGAAAUUAUAGGAAUCCAUGGAAAAUUUUCCAUUUGAAACAGGAAUAUAAAGUUGUUAUAACUGAUAUUUUCUAAUUAUACUGUAUUUUGUGAAAUCAGUAUUUAACUUUGGGACAUUUGAAUUUGUGUAGUAUUAAAACCCAUAGAUAUUUCUGAAAUUUCGGAUUUCUGUAUUUAAACAAGUAAAAUAGGAGCUUAUGUUCAUAUAUAUUUUUAAUGUACUCAUUUAUAUGAAUUUUCAUCCAUGAACACUUCAGGCAAAACGUAAAGACUAUUUUUACAUGUGUUUCUAAUCAUAUGAAAUACAAAGAUCAAAAAGUGAAAAAUUGAUAAAGUGAAAAACUGAUACUGGAAUCAAACUAAUACUAACUGGGGGAGUCCUUUUUUAUUUUUAUUUUUCCAUCAUGUCUUCUGUUUUCAUAAUGAUUAAAUUAUUUUAUGUUUGUAUAAUUCUUUUAUUGUUGAAGAUAUUUCUGUAUCCACAUUUUUUUUAAGUUUUAAUUCCAGUAUAAUUAAUGUACAGCAUUAUAUUGGUUUCAGGCAUACAGUAUAGUGAUUCAACCAUUCUAUACAUUUCUUUCUUUUUUUUUUUUUUUUUGUAAGAUUGUAUUUAUUCAUGAGAGACACAGAGAGAGAGUCAGAGACAGAGGCAGAGGGAAAAGCAGACUCCAUACAGGAAGCCCAAUGCAGGACUUGAUCCCAAGACUCCAGGAUCACAACCUGAGCCAAAUCUUUAAUAAACACUUAAAUAAAUAAAGUGUUCAUACAGAGGCCUUGUCUAAUGCUUAGAACAGUAACUUUUUGCUUUUCUGUAACUUGAACAUGAGAGAGAGAGUGACACAACUGUCCCUAAGGAAUAGAUGUAGAGAGAACCCUGGCCCCUUGUGUUCGACCACUGAUUGCCUUCUGGACUGCCCUGUAUUCUGGCAAGUUUUACAGAGUAGUCUUACCUUUAAUUGCCUAGUCCUGUACUGCUGAUUUUAUUUAAUAAGGUGAGGGCUUCUGAGUGUUUGGGAAUAAAAGCAUUAUGUAAAGAUCUGAAAUAAAACUAAAAGUGCUCCAAGAAAACAGUCACUGAGUUAUUCUAAGGCAACAAAAAGAAAUUUCUAUUCUUGAAAGUCUCUGCUAACUCCAGAGGGCCAAGAAUUUCACGAAAAGAGGCUUCCAAGGAAAGUGCCCAAUUUCUCUUUCCCGUUUUGAGAAAAUAUCACAGGUGUGCUUCUUUCCCUGUGUCCCCGAUAAGGCAAUUUAUAUUUGUUUUGCCUUGGCUGGGAAGGAAGCACUGUAUUUAAUUUAGCUUUGAUUUUUGUCUUCUGGCUAAAAUGGAGCUCCCUAGGGAAACUUAAAAGGGAUUAUGAAAUAUAUAUACCUAACCAUAUUCCUUUCAUUGCAACUGCAUUUCUGCAUGUUUACCAUAGUACAAAUAAUUUGAGGAAUUUCUUCUAAUUAUAACUUCAAGCUUCCUGGAUCUUCUGUGAGUGGUGGAUGCUUCUGAGGGCAAGGAGUUAAAAAUAUAAAUUCUAUACCUAUGAGAGAAUUAACAGGUUCAUAUUCCAUGCUAUUUAAAAUUUAUCCUAUGUGUUGCAACAGGUAAUAAAUUCUCAUAAAGUUUUAUUGUAGAAGCUUCCAUUGCACUUGAGUUUUCAAUACGAAUGUUCUAUUUGGGGAUCCAAAUAAAAACUACAGUUGCCGUUUAACAUUACAGCUGCAACUAAGUAUAUAUUUUGUGUUUUUUUGUUUGGUUUUUUAAAGAUUUUAUUUAUUUAUUCAUGAGAGACACACAGAGACAGAGGCAGAGGGAGAAGCAGGCUCCCUGCGAGGAGCCUGAUUGUGGGACUUGAUCCUGGCUCUCCAGGAUGAUGCCCUCAACUGCUGAGCCACCCAGCCGUUCCCCAAGUUUAGAUUUUGAAAUGAAAUAUCUUCCUUCUCAUCCUUAACUCUUACCUACCUGAUACUGUGUUAUUUUACUUUGAAAUACAGCUGAUUCACAGCAUUCACAGAUUCAUAUUUGUGAAUUCAUCUACUCACUAAAAUGUAUUUGUAAAAUACGAAUGGUGGGGCACCUUGGCUGGCUCAGGCUGUAUAGCAUAAGACUCUUGAUCUUGAGGUCAUGCCCCACACUGGGCAUGGAAUUUACUUUAAAACAAUAAAACCUAAAUCGUCCAGUGCUCACACUCCGCUAAGAUCAAAUGAGGUGACACUGCCUUUUUGUUUUACCCGUCCUACUGUAAAUAAGUGUUUUAUGGUCUAUUUAGUACCAUAUUUUUCUCAUUUUUAUCUUUUUUAUUGAUGAUUUCUGUUUAAAAUGGCCCCCAGACUCAAAGUGCACAAAAGGUAUGGUAGUCUCACAGAGAACAUGCUAUGUUGGUAUCAUAUCCCAUAGGUUUGGGGCUCAGUCCCAAAGGACUGCUGCCCCUCCUCAGACACCAACCUCAAGUAGUAGAUCUUCAGGUUACCCACAGAGUAACUACAGAGUAAUCUACAGAGUGUAGGAUUAUGUACCUUUGUCUGACUUGUUUGCAGAUUGAGGGUUCCUAUAACCUCCUCCUCGGGUUUGAUAAUAUGCUAAAAUGGCUCACAAAACUCAGGAAUGCACUUCGUGUUAUUCAUUUAUAAUAAAGGAUACGACUCAGGAAGAAGUGGCUAGAGCAAUGUAUGUACAGGGCAGGGUGCCCAGAGCUUCCAUGCUCUGUGUGGAGGCGUCAUUAGGCACAGUUGAUUAAAUCAUUAGCCAUUCAUUGGUAAUUGAAUUCAAUCUCCAAGGGAUAGGGGCAGAAAGUUCCAAGUUUCUGGUCAUCUUGCUGGUUCCCAGGACAACCAACCCCCAUUCUGUGGUUAUCAAGGACAGGCUUUCAAAAAUUGCCUUUUUAAUAUACAUUUCGGCGUGAUUGAAAGGGCCUUUUUAUUAUGAAUAACAAAACUCAGAAAACUCCUUUAAGAGCUGUUUUAGGAGCACAAAGUCCACACAAAUAUAACAAAAGAUGCUUCUAUCACUAUUUUUCACUUAAGACAUUAUAAGAAUUGUAGGGGAUCCCUGGGUGGCUCAGCGGUUUGGCGCCUACCUUCGGCCCAGGGUGUAAUCCUGGAGUCCCGGGAUCGAGUCCCAUGUCGGGCUCCCUACAUGGGGUCUGCUUCUCCCUCUGCCUGUGUCUCUGCCUCUCUCUGUGUCUUUCAUGAAUAAAUAAAUAAAAUCUUAAAAAAAAAAAAAAGAAAUUACAAGAAUUUUAGAAGCUGUGUGCCAGGAACCAUGGAUGAAGACCAAAUAUUAUUUUACCAGCCUAUCGCAGGAUUUUAAUUGAUGAAAUUGGCUUUUUGCUCAGAAAAUGAAUUAUUUAAAAUGGAUUCUCACUGGUAAGACUAGUUGUAUGAAGGCAUUUGGAUUGGUUGAGAUGUGUUUAGGAGACAUGCCUACGUAUAAAGAAGAGAGGAUAAGAAUCUCAGGGAUAGUCCUGAGGCUUAAUCUAUAUAAGUAGUCUGUUGCUUCCAAGGAUCACAGAACCCUGCCUGUAGUAGGUCUUCAUACAAGAUGUGAUGAAUCACCUAAAGGGGAGAGGCUGGGAUUUCGUUGAGCUCAGAGCACAGAAUUAUGAAUUGUUUGUGUCUACACACCCUGCCUACGGCACUGACGUGAACAUCCAACAGAAAAAAUGGAUAGAUGACUCCAUAUAGAGUAAAAAAGCUGUUCUGCGUUCCCUAUCACCACCAUUGUAAGCAGACGGGGCUACAGAGAGGAAGAAAAAGGGAGCAGAUAGAGAUGGAGCGACUCUUUCCAUCUACAGAGUGUAGGAUUAUGUACCACUGGGGCUUGGAAUAUAGAGAAGCAUGGUCAUCUCCGCAGAUCUGAAUUGAAAGGUGCUUGGACCCAAGGAGCAAGAUCAAUAAAUGUGACUAAAUUAAGCAUUUUGAGGUAGGAGGAUUAUCCUGGAUUAUCAGGGUGGCCAAAUAUAACCACAAGAGUCCUUAUAAUGAGAGAAAAGAGAUGGCAACAACAGAAAGAGGACAGAGUGAGGCAGGUCAUGAGCCAAGGAAACUUCCGAAGCUGGAAAACAAGAAACCAGAUUCCUGCCUACAGUCUCCAGAAGAAACACAGCCCUGUGGAACCCAUUUCAGAUCUAUGAACUCAAGAACUUGUCAGAUAAUAAAUUUGUGUGGUUUUAAGUCACUAAAUUUAUGGUAAUUUGUUAUAGCAGCAAUAGGAAAGUAAUGCAUGGUUGCAAUUUCAAAUUUUGGAAUAUGGCCACCCUAUCUCUUAAGGGGGUAAAGACUGUGGGAUCUCUCUGCCUCAGCUUCUUUUGUAAGAUGGUGUUGUCUCUUCUUACAUAAACUUUUCUCUGCUUCCCUCGUCUUCUGUGCAAUAUCCUAACUACAUAAUGCUUAUGGGCUUGGGCUGGUGGGAUGGCAUCUAGUAUGGGAUGGCAUCUAGCAUGAACCACUUACAAAUUGCUCUCUUCGUAUCUCUUAAAUCAGAUUUCCUAGAAGGAUCUGAUGGCCCUACUUGGGCUACAUGAAUAACCCAGAUCCAGUUUUCUGUGGCCUGCAGAGUACAAGAUACCAUCACCUGGUAGAAAGCUUCUCUAUCUUCAUGCCGCAGUAGUAGAUAAUCCAGCACUCUCUAGAUGGAAUUAGUUGCUCCAUCUCUAUCUGCUCCCUUUUUCUUCCUAUCUGUAACCCCUUGUCUGCUUAUAAUGGUGGUGGUAGGGGGCGCAGGGCAGCUUUUUACUCCAUAUUUACUCCAAUUUUCCUGUUGGAUGUUAAUGUCAGUGCCUUAGGCAGAGUAUGUUCUCUUCCUACCAUCCUGCCUUGGGAAGGAGGUUAUUAAAACACCUUACCAAGAUAAUCCUGCCUAUGGUCUCUGAUGUCAUCCAUAUCAGGGAGAUUGCCCCAUUCUACUAGCACUAUGUACAAUGAGCUUCCUGUUGUUUUUUGUCUGGAAUGUACAAAGGCCAUAUUUGGAACUGAUACCUGUCUUGCCUUACCUGGUGCUACACCUGAGUGACAGAUGUCUGUAUUUCAACGAUGUGCUCAACUACCCAGUGCUUAAGGGAUAAGACGUUCAUUUCCCCUUCCUCACCCUUAGCUUAAUAUCUCUGAUACCUUGUCACUUAGCCUAACAUUGUUGAAUGGAUGCAAGACACACAGUCAACAAAAAGGUCAGUCAGCCAUGCAGCUGGCAAGUAUGAUAACCCAUUGUCUCCAUUGUCACUUUGUUCUAUAUGCAGAGUUACUGACAUUGUUGAUGAAGUUCUAUUAAAGUUCUUAG